rnacentral:lncRNA from 1 species
CCCUCACGAGGUGUGUGUCUUCCAGCAGGGAGCUGCUCCUCUCUCCCUCACCUCUGCAACUCGGUGCGUCCUCUGCUCCUCCACCUGCAGCUCGCCCCAUCUCCUCCUCCACCAUGCGUCCAGUUCUGUCCCACCAUGGCCGCCCCUCCUCCAUCUCCUCCCUCCCUAGCAGGUGCCCAGGUUCCAUGGUCGCGCGCCCUAGCAUCCGCUCGCCCCUGCGCGCGCUCCUCCCCCAUGGCGAGCUCGCCCUCAACUCCCUGCCAUGGAGCUCGCCCCAUGUUCUGGACGCUAGCCCUCCUUUUUCUUUCUGGUGGCCGAACUCCUCCCCACAACAACAACAACACCUUCAUCCAUGGUGCCCAGCUGCUCCUUGGAGUCUAUGGUGAUGAUCUCUAUAUCCCUUUGUUGUUUUAGUGGUUCUUGUGCAUAUAGGUUCUUAUUAAUACCAUGCUGAUGUGAUGUUUUAUGUGUGUUUAUGUGUGCGAUAUGGAGUAAAAAUCCCUGGAGAAUUAAGUGGAGAAGAAGGUUAAGUUCAACGCUUCUUAGGUGUUCGAUGAUAUACCCCAACCAGGGAUCAUCGCUGUGUCUAUGGGUGCCGAAUCAAAAUUUUCGUUAUGGUAAGCUCCUUCGAAAUCCAUAUUAUUUACCUUGUAUGGUGGGAAGGGAUAGAGGUAUUGGUCGGGAUAGUAUCUUGCUUAUGUUCAUGUCGUAUGAAGGUAUUAGGCACUUGAUGAGGUGCAUCAUUGUAUGUAACAAUAUGGUUGCCAUUGCGAUUGGAGAGUAGACAUGUUAUGUGGUGUGCGAUGGAGUUAGGAUGGUGUAGGUGGGCGUGUUGAAAUACUUGUUUUAUAAGGUGAAUAUGUAUUUGUAAUAUUCUGAAAUCAAUUAGAUGUAUGCAUUGUGAUUGUAUUAGUAAUGUGAUAGGAGGAUUUUAGUAGGUUCCGUUGAUAUCACUUGGGAUACAUUGAUUUUGGUUUAAGUAGUAGCAUGGAUGCUCCAUCUGCUAGCUCAAAAGUGUGAUAUUGUAUUUAGCUUGUGUGGUGAACUAAUAUUGCGUAGGAUAAGUUUAUAAUUUUUAUCGGCUAUCUGACGGGCCUUAGCAGUGUUGUUGUGCUGAUUGUGUUUAUUUGGGAAGUUUAGCUCUAAAAUUACGAGUUUAUUUGAAAUGAUUUUGUGCACGAUUAUGAGGUGGACUAGUCCAUAUAUGUGAUUAAGUGGGUGAUUUUAGCUCUACUUUAAGAUAAGGUAUUAGAAUAUUUGAAGUGUCAAGAACAUAAUAAUUGUAGAAGCCAAAUAGGAGCUAAAUUAGUUAUUGUUGUUUGACUGCAUGUCCAGUUUUAACUACGCAUCUAGUUUAGUGAAGUAAACCAUGUUUUAUACAGAAAUGUUAUAUAGGAAAGUUGUAGAUAACUUUUUUUAUCUUACUUGUGUAAAAAUUUCAUGACCAUAGGUCUAGUAGUUUAGGAGUUAUGAUUUUUCCAAGUCCAGUUUCUGAAUCUGUCCAAAUUUUAUACAAAUUUCGAAAAUGACCUUGUUUGCCCAAAUUAAACUAAGAAUAGCCCUUAGUAAUUAUAUAAGAAUUGUAGUACUUUUCUUAAGCUUUCCAACAAAUUUUAGAUCACCCUUUUUGGUGAUCUAUAAGUUAAGUUACAGCUGUUUGAAGUGUGAUCUCUGAAUCUGUCCAAAUUUGGACAGUAUAGCCUUUCUCAUGUCUUUUGAACUUGAUAUGCAUUGAAUUAACCUGAGAUGUUUAUAGAUGAAUUGCAUACAAUUCUAUUAGCUUUUUAAAAAGUCUAGGAUCACCUGAUUUAGGUGCCUGAGACUACAGUUAAGGAUUUUUGAAGUAAGUAGUCGAAUUUUGUCCAAAUCUGGACAGCAUUAUCGUUUAAUACUGAUUGACCUUUCUAAGUGUCUAAUCUCAUGGUGAUGAUAAUACCAAAGUUGUAGAGGAUUUCUUAGGCUUUCCAUAAAGUCUUAGUUCACUAUUUUUGGAUGAAUGUUUUGUGAGUUAUGAGCAAAACCGUUGACUGUUGUGCUGCUGUCCAGAAAUUUUGCAAGUGUGAAAUUAAUUGAUUGAGGUUAUUCUUGUUUGACUAAGUAAAUUUAGUUAGUUCUUGAUUGGUGAAGUCUUGUAUUUGUUAAACUCAAGUGAACAAGUGUCCCAAGCUUAAUGUGCUAUACUAAGUAAUCUAAGGAAAGUAUGGAACACUUCUUAUAUUUCAUCUUGUAUGCUUUAGAUCUUUAAUUGUUGAGAAUGUAAAUUCUAUGGAACUUUAUGUUGUGUGAUACGUGUUCUACUUGUGUGAUUGAAUAGAAAUGUGAUGAUUUAUUAGUUGGUGUGUUACAAUAAGUUAAUUUGGGAAAGAAGUUUAGGAAACUAGUUAAGCUACUCAUAUCUUUAAUCUAUGUCUUAGGUGACUGUCAUUAGUGAACCUAAGUUCUAGUAAUCCUUUGAGACGUACUGCUUUCUUGAUGCUUGUGCCGGACCUUAUUGAAUUAGAAAGUUAGUUACAUGUGUUAUAUCACUUUUUCCAAGUUCUGAGUGUUAAAAAGUGACAAGUCUAAGGGUAAUAACCUAUCGGUGUUAUGCUUUAGCUUAAGGCUUGUGUUUAGUUAUGAUUUUCAAAUGUUUGAAUUAGGUCCCUCUAGCUCGAGGAUCAUGAUUGUUGUUAAUUCAAAGGUAUCUAGUGUUUGCCUAGGAGUUGUAAUGCCUUACUAGCAAUAUAUUACCCUCUUCGGCAUAGUGUUAUUAUCUUGUAUUGUUUAUGAUUAUUCUCACUCAUAUGCAUUAUGCAUAUCAAUUAGGUACGUUAAUUGAUCGCACGAUGUGGAGGAAAAGUGUUGGAUUAAUCUCAAAGUGAUGCUGACAAAUAAACCAGAGGAAUGGAUGAUCUGAUCAAGUGCCAGGAUGGAAGAUGCUCACCAAGUGGUCAUCAUCUAACCACACUAACCUAGUGUUAUCUCGGGCAAGCCCCAGUGCAUUUGCCACCUCCUUGCUGUUUUAAAAACUUUUAUCACUUAUAUGCUGCAUUAGGUGAUACGAGUUGUGUGAAUUAACAGUUGAUGCAUUACCAUUCUUUGGAAUUUGAUUACUAUUCCUUGAUUCAUGUUUAUAAAAGAGAACUAAAGAUGCU